UGGGGAAUUUUGGACAAUGGGCGAAAGCCUGAUCCAGCAAUGCCGCGUGUGUGAAGAAGGCCUUCGGGUUGUAAAGCACUUUUGUCCGGAAAGAAAUCCUUGGCUCUAAUACAGUCGGGGGAUGACGGUACCGGAAGAAUAAGCACCGGCUAACUACGUGCCAGCAGCCGCGGUAAUACGUAGGGUGCAAGCGUUAAUCGGAAUUACUGGGCGUAAAGCGUGCGCAGGCGGUUCGCUAAGACCGAUGUGAAAUUCCCGGGCUCAACCUGGGAACUGCAUUGGGUGACUGGCAGGCUAGAGUAUGGCAGAGGGGGGUAGAAUUCCACGUGUAGCAGUGAAAUGCGUAGAGAUGUGGAGGAAUACCGAUGGCGAAGGCAGCCCCCUGGGCCAAUACUGACGCUCAUGCACGAAAGCGUGGGGAGCAAACAGGAUUAGAUACCCUGGUAGUCCACGCCCUAAACGAUGUCAACUAGUUGUUGGGGAUUCAUUUCCUAGUAACGUAGCUAACGCGUGAAGUUGACCGCCUGGGGAGUACGGUCGCAAGAUU
rnacentral:rRNA from 1 species